rnacentral:rRNA from 1 species
AUGUUAGCGGCGGACGGGUGAGUAACACGUGGGUAACCUGCCUGUAAGACUGGGAUAACUCCGGGAAACCGGAGCUAAUACCGGAUAGUUCCUUGAACCGCAUGGUUCAAGGAUGAAAGACGGUUUCGGCUGUCACUUACAGAUGGACCCGCGGCGCAUUAGCUAGUUGGUGGGGUAAUGGCUCACCAAGGCGACGAUGCGUAGCCGACCUGAGAGGGUGAUCGGCCACACUGGGACUGAGACACGGCCCAGACUCCUACGGGAGGCAGCAGUAGGGAAUCUUCCGCAAUGGACGAAAGUCUGACGGAGCAACGCCGCGUGAGUGAUGAAGGUUUUCGGAUCGUAAAGCUCUGUUGUUAGGGAAAAACAAGUGCGAGAGUAACUGCUCGCACCUUGACGGUACCUAACCAGAAAGCCACGGCUAACUACGUGCCAGCAGCCGCGGUAAUACGUAGGUGGCAAGCGUUGUCCGGAAUUAUUGGGCGUAAAGGGCUCGCAGGCGGUUUCUUAAGUCUGAUGUGAAAGCCCCCGGCUCAACCGGGGAGGGUCAUUGGAAACUGGGAAACUUGAGUGCAGAAGAGGAGAGUGGAAUUCCACGUGUAGCGGUGAAAUGCGUAGAGAUGUGGAGGAACACCAGUGGCGAAGGCGACUCUCUGGUCUGUAACUGACGCUGAGGAGCGAAAGCGUGGGGAGCGAACAGGAUUAGAUACCCUGGUAGUCCACGCCGUAAACGAUGAGUGCUAAGUGUUAGGGGGUUUCCGCCCCUUAGUGCUG